rnacentral:rRNA from 1 species
GUGUCAGCAGCCGCGGUAAUACGUAGGGGGCGAGCGUUGUCCGGAUUUAUUGGGCGUAAAGAGCUCGUAGGCGGUUCGGCAAGUCGGAUGUGAAAUCUCCACGCUCAACGUGGAGGGGCCAUCCGAUACUGCCGUGACUCGAGUCCGGUAGGGGAGUGUGGAAUUCCCGGUGUAGCGGUGAAAUGCGCAGAGAUCGGGAGGAACACCCGUAGCGAAGGCGGCACUCUGGGCCGGUACUGACGCUGAGGAGCGAAAGCGUGGGGAGCGAACAGGAUUAGAAACCCGCGUAGUCC